GACGAACGCUGGCGGCGUGCCUAACACAUGCAAGUCGAGCGGGGUUAUAUAUUGGAAGUCCUUCGGGAUGGAAGAAAUGUAAUCUAGCGGCGGACGGGUGAGUAACGCGUGAAUAACCUGCCUUUCACUGGGGAAUAACACAUUGAAAGAUGUGCUAAUACCGCAUAAGACCACGAGAUCGCAUGGUUUUGAGGUCAAGGGAGUAAUUCGGUGAAAGAUGGAUUCGCGUCCCAUUAGCUAGUUGGUGAGGUAACAGCUCACCAAGGCGACGAUGGGUAGCCGACCUGGGAGGGUGAUCGGCCACACUGGGACUGAGACACGGCCCAGACUCCUACGGGAGGCAGCAGUGGGGAAUAUUGGGCAAUGGGGGAAACCCUGACCCAGCAACGCCGCGUGAGGGAAGAAGGUUCUCGGAUCGUAAACCUCUGUCCUUGGUGAAGAGAAGAAGACGGUAGCCAAGGAGGAAGCCCCGGCUAACUACGUGCCAGCCGCCGCAGUAA
rnacentral:rRNA from 1 species